UACGUAGGGGGCAAGCGUUGUCCGGAAUCAUUGGGCGUAAAGAGCGUGUAGGCGGUCCGGUCAGUCGGUUGUGAAAGUCAAGGGCUCAACCCUUGGAAUGCCGGCUGAUACUGCCGGGCUAGAGUCGGAAGAGGUGAGUGGAAUUCCCGGUGUAGCGGUGAAAUGCGCAGAUAUCGGGAGGAACACCUAUGGCGAAGGCAGCUCGCUGGGACGUUACUGACGCUGAGACGCGAAAGCGUGGGGAGCAAACAGG
rnacentral:rRNA from 1 species